ACGAACGCUGGCGGCGUGCUUAACACAUGCCAGUCGAACGGAAAGGCCCUGCUUUUGUGGGGUGCUCGAGUGGCGAACGGGUGAGUAACACGUGAGUAACCUGCCCUUGACUUUGGGAUAACUUCAGGAAACUGGGGCUAAUACCGGAUAGGAGCUCCUGCUGCAUGGUGGGGGUUGGAAAGUUUCGGCGGUUGGGGAUGGACUCGCGGCUUAUCAGCUUGUUGGUGGGGGAGUGGCUUACCAAGGCUUUGACGGGUAGCCGGCCUGAGAGGGUGACCGGCCACAUUGGGACUGAGAUACGGCCCAGACUCCUACGGGAGGCAGCAGUGGGGAAUAUUGCACAAUGGGCGGAAGCCUGAUGCAGCAACGCCGCGUGCGGGAUGACGGCCUUCGGGUUGUAAACCGCUUUCGCCUGUGACGAAGCGUGAGUGACGGUAAUGGGUAAAGAAGCACCGGCUAACUACGUG
rnacentral:rRNA from 1 species